rnacentral:rRNA from 1 species
AGAGUUUGAUCCUGGCUCAGGAUGAACGCUAGCUACAGGCUUAACACAUGCAAGUCGAGGGGAAACGACAUCGAAAGCUUGCUUUUGAUGGGCGUCGACCGGCGCGCGGGUGAGUAACGCGUAUCCAACCUGCCCACCACUUGGGGAUAACCUUGCGAAAGUAAGACUAAUACCCAAUGACGUCUCUAGAAGACAUCUGAAGGAGAUUAAAGAUUUAUCGGUGAUGGAUGGGGAUGCGUCUGAUUAGCUUGUUGGCGGGUAACGCCACAAGGCGACGAUCAGUAGGGGUUCUGAGAGGAAGGUCCCCCANAUUGGAACUGAGACACGGUCCAAACUCCUACGGGAGGCA